AAUCAACGCUGGCGGCGUGCCUAACACAUGCAAGUCGCACGAGAAAGGGGCUUCGGCCCUGAGUACAGUGGCGCACGGGUGAGUAACACGUGAAUUAUCUACCUCCGAGUGGGGAAUAACCUAGGGAAACCUGGGCUAAUACCGCAUAACACUUACGAGUCAAAGCAGCAAUGCGCUUGGAGAGGAGUUCGCGGCAGAUUAGCUAGUUGGUGGGGUAAUGGCCCACCAAGGCGAUGAUCUGUAUCCGGCCUGAGAGGGCGCACGGACACACUGGAACUGAAACACGGUCCAGACUCCUACGGGAGGCAGCAGUGGGGAAUUUUGCGCAAUGGGGGAAACCCUGACGCAACAACGCCGCGUGGAGGAUGAAAUCCCUUGGGAUGUAAACUCCUUUCGAUCGGGAAGAUAAUGACGGUACCGAGAGAAGAA
rnacentral:rRNA from 1 species